rnacentral:lncRNA from 1 species
CACAAGUAAAAUGAGAAAAAUAGACAACGAGGCCAAGAAAACCAUAAAAGCAAAGUCAUCGAAGUUAUUUUGCAUGGUCGUUACUUUUAUUUGUACCAAAAAUACACAUAAACAAACAGCAAUGCUUGGAGCAUGAAGUGCAGUCCCAAACUUUCUGGGGAGGAUUCCAAAGAACGUCUAUACAGUGUUCAGCAAAAUGGGAUCUUGAGUAUAUGUCUUGCUCACUUGUGCUACAUUUUUAUAUGAGACUUGGGAGGGAAAUAAAAUUUUCAUCUCCAGAGAUACUUAUAUAGCAGAAACUAUUUACAGCGUAGGCUUGAGAGGAAAGUCAGAACUUUAAAACAGGGUAGAGUAACUGGUUUCCCCUUGAAUGUCCAGACUCAGAUCUAGUAACCCAGCAUUUCACAUCUGAGAAGAAUCAACCAUUAAACUCUGGCUUGAAGGAUGGUCCAGGACUGACACAGCUACUGACAAGAGCUAAUGUAGGAAGGGAUCAUUUUUAAAAAACUCCACAAUAAUUACAAAAAUGGCCUAAAGAUUAGAAUACAUGUAUGUAUGUGCAGCAUCAGUCUUGGGGUUGGAGUUUGCACCAGCAACCAGUCCUGGGUGGUUUGAGCUGUCUUGCUCCUGGAACUUGGCUAUAUUUAUCCUGGCUGAUCCAUGCUGUCAAGUGUGCCCUGCUCUUGAUAAGGUGCAACUGAUGACAAGAGCGAGGGGUCAAGGGGGAGGAGCAGGAUGCGGGACUUCUAGUCAGUAUUUCUUUAGUGGGGUUUCAAAAGUCUUUCAGUCUCAUUCCAGUUUAGCAUGCAUCUUGGUUUCUAGGCACUUCUGGGAGCUUCAAGAGACAAAAGUUCAAGAUGCCAGAGCCUUCAAAGAAAGCAGUUUCUGCGUUUACCAAGAAGCCAAAGACAACAGAGGCAACAACAGGAGGUUCAGCUAUCUUUGAGGCAGAGACAGAAAAAGCUGGCAUCAAGGUGAAGUGGCAGCGAGCUGGUGCUGAAAUUACUGAAAGCAAGAAAUAUAUCAUCAAGUCUGAGGGGAACAAGCAUUCAUUGACUAUCAAUAACAUUGAAAAAGAUGAUGAUGUGACAUAUGCUGUAAUUGCAGGGAGUUCCAAGGUCAAAUUUGAGCUCAAGGUCAAAGAACCAGGUACAGUGCCUCUA